rnacentral:rRNA from 3 species
UUAAAUUGAAGAGUUUGAUCAUGGCUCAGAUUGAACGCUGGCGGCAGGCCUAACACAUGCAAGUCGAACGGUAACAGGAAGCAGCUUGCUGCUUUGCUGACGAGUGGCGGACGGGUGAGUAAUGUCUGGGAAACUGCCUGAUGGAGGGGGAUAACUACUGGAAACGGUGGCUAAUACCGCAUAACGUCGCAAGACCAAAGAGGGGGACCUUCGGGCCUCUUGCCAUCAGAUGUGCCCAGAUGGGAUUAGCUUGUUGGUGAGGUAACGGCUCACCAAGGCGACGAUCCCUAGCUGGUCUGAGAGGAUGACCAGCCACACUGGAACUGAGACACGGUCCAGACUCCUACGGGAGGCAGCAGUGGGGAAUAUUGCACAAUGGGCGCAAGCCUGAUGCAGCCAUGCCGCGUGUAUGAAGAAGGCCUUCGGGUUGUAAAGUACUUUCAGCGGGGAGGAAGGUGUUGUGGUUAAUAACCGCAGCAAUUGACGUUACCCGCAGAAGAAGCACCGGCUAACUCCGUGCCAGCAGCCGCGGUAAUACGGAGGGUGCAAGCGUUAAUCGGAAUUACUGGGCGUAAAGCGCACGCAGGCGGUCUGUCAAGUCGGAUGUGAAAUCCCCGGGCUCAACCUGGGAACUGCAUUCGAAACUGGCAGGCUUGAGUCUUGUAGAGGGGGGUAGAAUUCCAGGUGUAGCGGUGAAAUGCGUAGAGAUCUGGAGGAAUACCGGUGGCGAAGGCGGCCCCCUGGACAAAGACUGACGCUCAGGUGCGAAAGCGUGGGGAGCAAACAGGAUUAGAUACCCUGGUAGUCCACGCCGUAAACGAUGUCUACUUGGAGGUUGUGCCCUUGAGGCGUGGCUUCCGGAGCUAACGCGUUAAGUAGACCGCCUGGGGAGUACGGCCGCAAGGUUAAAACUCAAAUGAAUUGACGGGGGCCCGCACAAGCGGUGGAGCAUGUGGUUUAAUUCGAUGCAACGCGAAGAACCUUACCUGGUCUUGACAUCCACAGAAGAAUCCAGAGAUGGAUUUGUGCCUUCGGGAACUGUGAGACAGGUGCUGCAUGGCUGUCGUCAGCUCGUGUUGUGAAAUGUUGGGUUAAGUCCCGCAACGAGCGCAACCCUUAUCCUUUGUUGCCAGCGGUCCGGCCGGGAACUCAAAGGAGACUGCCAGUGAUAAACUGGAGGAAGGUGGGGAUGACGUCAAGUCAUCAUGGCCCUUACGACCAGGGCUACACACGUGCUACAAUGGCGCAUACAAAGAGAAGCGACCUCGCGAGAGCAAGCGGACCUCAUAAAGUGCGUCGUAGUCCGGAUUGGAGUCUGCAACUCGACUCCAUGAAGUCGGAAUCGCUAGUAAUCGUGGAUCAGAAUGCCACGGUGAAUACGUUCCCGGGCCUUGUACACACCGCCCGUCACACCAUGGGAGUGGGUUGCAAAAGAAGUAGGUAGCUUAACCUUCGGGAGGGCGCUUACCACUUUGUGAUUCAUGACUGGGGUGAAGUCGUAACAAGGUAACCGUAGGGGAACCUGCGGUUGGAUCACCUCCUUACCUUAAAGAA